GAUCGACAAAAAAUGUAAAUUACAUUACAGAAUAUAUUAAUACCAAUAUACCAUAAACUACAACAAAUGCGAAUACAAAUGAUAUAUGAAACAAAUAUAGAAUAAGGUGACUGCCAAUGCCUGCUUAUGUCAGACAAAGACUGAUAGAGCUAAAUCCUAAAUCCCUGCUAACACCCUGCUAAAUUGCUCAUCUAAAAAAUCACCGUCAUAUCCUCGUUGAACUAAAAGGCUUUUAAGCUCUCCCAAUGUUUUCUCCUACUUAUUUUUCUUACUACAAAUCCGCUUUAGUCUCAAAAAUUCAUUAUUCUUGGUUUGCACUUGACGUCAUAGCGGCCAUGUUGGAGGAACGACAACGAAAGAAUAUAUCAUUAGCAGCUAUUGUAUUUGGACUGUGUUGUCCUCCAGCAUGGAAGCUCUUGUCAAUCUUAAGGGAUUGAUUGCAAACCAUUAAUACGGUAUCCUCGCUUGAUGUGAGGCGAAUGGCAAGAUUUCAAAAAUUCAAAUAUUGAUGUGCAUCAAAGGUUUUUAAUACACAUCUAUGGUUGUCAGAUUGUAGCAAAAUUCAAUACGCACAAUUUAUAUUCAAUACACUCUUAAAAUAUUCAACAAACGUUUUAUAUUCAAUAAUUACCGAAAUUUUAAAAAAACUUCUGAAAUAUUCAGCAAAUUACACCGUAAAAUAUUCAAUGCGGCGAAAAAAGUAUUCAAUAAAACAAACAGCAAAAAAUAUUCAAUAGCUUUUGACCAGCGGUAUACCGCCAAAAAAAUAACAUCUACCACUGGCAGUUCCCGUAGAUUUGCCGAUUGCUUUAGUAACGGCGAACAUCUUGCGACUAAAUAUUUUUAAAGCGACAUGUUGCAUUUCAGUUUCUUUUUCGGUUUUAUAGAAGCAUUUUAAUCAUACUUUUCAUUUGUAAAUAUAAAAGUAGAUACUUAUAUGUACAACACUGCACGUAGCCUACGCUUUUUGACUUGCAAUGAGUAAUGUAGUUUGCUAUAUUACAGUAAUACUUUUAUAACAUAGUACAUACAACUACGAGUCUGACUCGUAUAUGCUGACUUUGAACCAGGAAAUGGUUACCUGGGCUGUUCUUGUGAUGUUUUCCCUUCGUGGGCGAUUGUAUAAAUUUACCGUUUUAAUCCAUGGAUUCCCUGCGGCAGACAAAUAGAGUCCUCUGCCAGCAGGGAAAUCCAUGGAUGGAAGAUCUGAAAUACGCAGAGUAGUGGAGGAAAUUAUCUCCGAAAGGGGUAGAGAUAAUAGUGGAAACCGUCCUCGUACUUUUGUGAGAGGUGAGCAGCCGUCAACUUAACCUGAACCGUCAACUAGCCAUAUCGGUGUUCAAAGCCAGCCUACGAAUCAGACUCGUCUUUGUGUGUACUAUAUAUAAAAGUGUUACGGUAAUACAGCAAACUACAUUAAGUAUUAGAUAAAAUAUUCGCAUCCGAUCUUUAUCUGAUAUACAAUCUCGAACCGAAGGUAAAUGAUUGCAAGACAAAAAGCUUACGUGCAGUGUUUAU